AUCCUGAAACUGACAAGAGAGGCGCAUGCGUGUGCCUCUCCCCUUGCACUGCCCGGAGGGACUAUUUGUGGAGUUACUCGAUUCCUCAUCGCUGGACACAGCAGGGGGAGGUUUGGCAGCCUCCUUCCAGAAGCACCUCGCCUUGUGACCGCCUCCUCGGGUGGUGUUAGACAGCCUGGUUCAAAUGCAGCCGACUUCAGAGUGCGAGCAGGAAGUGCUACCGGAACAUGGAGUGAGCUGGGAAGCGAGGGGCCCCCUCUGUUGCCUCCUUCACUAGGCAUAGGCUAGUUGGAGUUGUUACUACGUUCGGGGUGCAGGAAGACCACAGUCAACUCCUCCUGACAAAUGGGAAGUCCUCCAGAGGCCUGAGCAUCAAGCACUCCUUCCUGAAUGAUCCCCCCCUGACAUAUGGCAAGACCAGCACCACCAUCAGCUCCCCAAAGGUCCAGAGCUUUGUGUGCCCACUGCUAACUGGGAAGUUGGCCAAGCAUGGAGGAAGAGAGGGACAAAGGCCAGGACCAACUGCGCCAGCUCCGAGUAAAAAUCCAAUGUGCACUGUAGAAAAGAAUAACAAUAGGGCUCUUUGAAGAGCCAUGUUCCAACUCUUGGCAAAGAGCUUUAUCCAUUUCAGCAACCCUUCAACUUGGAGUCUAGCGCACCCCUCUGGAUUGGGAGAUUUGCAGAAGUCGGAUACUUUUAGUGCAACCCACCGAUUAGACAUACUGGAGUGAACAGGAGAGUGACAUGGGGGACAGAAAUAACAUACAAAAACAAAAUUAGCUGGAAAAACUCAGCAGGUCUGGCAGCAUCUGCGGAGAGGGUUACAGUUAAUGUUUCGAGUCUGUAUGACUCUUCAUCAGAACUAAGGAAAAAUAGAAAUG